ACGCGAAGAACCUUACCAAGGCUUGACAUAUAGCGAAAAGUGGCAGAGAUGUCAUGUCCGCAAGGGCGCUAUACAGGUGGUGCAUGGUUGUCGUCAGCUCGUGUCGUGAGAUGUUGGGUUAAGUCCCGCAACGAGCGCAACCCUCGUUCUGUGUUACCAGCAUUAAGUUGGGGACUCACAGGAGACUGCCGGGGUCAACUCGGAGGAAGGUGGGGAUGACGUCAAAUCAUCAUGCCCCUUAUGUCUUGGGCUGCACGCAUGCUACAAUGGCCGGUACAAAGUGCUGCGAGAUCGUAAGAUUGAGCGAAUCACAUAAAGCCGGUCUCAGUUCGGAUUGAGGUUUGCAACUCGACCUCAUGAAGUCGGAGUU
rnacentral:rRNA from 1 species